rnacentral:rRNA from 1 species
GAUGAACGCUGGCGGCGUGCUUAACACAUGCAAGUCGAACGGUGAAGCUCCAGCUUGCUGGAGUGGAUCAGUGGCAAACGGGUGAGUAACACGUGAGCAACCUGCCCCUGACUCUGGGAUAACAGCCGGAAACGGCUGCUAAUACCGGAUAUGCACCAUGAACGCAUGUUCUGUGGUGGGAAAGAUUUUUCGGUUGGGGAUGGGCUCGCGGCCUAUCAGCUUGUUGGUGAGGUAAUGGCUCACCAAGGCGUCGACGGGUAGCCGGCCUGAGAGGGUGACCGGCCACACUGGGACUGAGACACGGCCCAGACUCCUACGGGAGGCAGCAGUGGGGAAUAUUGCACAAUGGGCGAAAGCCUGAUGCAGCAACGCCGCGUGAGGGAUGACGGCCUUCGGGUUGUAAACCUCUUUUAGCAGGGAAGAAGCGAGAGUGACGGUACCUGCAGAAAAAGCGCCGGCUAACUACGUG